rnacentral:rRNA from 1 species
AACGAACGCUGGCGGCAUGCCUAACACAUGCAAGUCGAACGGAAACGCCCUGCCUUUGUGGGGUGCUCUGGUGACGAACGGGUGAGUAACACGUGAGUAAGCUACCCCUUACUUUAGGGUGACUUCAGGAAGCAGGGGCUAAUACCACCUAGGAGCUCCUGCUGCCUGGUGGGGGUUGGCUAGUUUCGGCGGUUGGUGGUGUACUCGCGGCUUAUCAGCUUGUUGGUGGGGUGGUGGCUUACCAAGGCAGUGACGGGUAGCCGGCCUGGGAGGGUGGGCGGCCACACUAGGCCUGAGAUACGGCCCAGACCCGUAUGGUAGGCAGUGGUGGGGAAUAUUACACAGUGGGCGGGAGCGUGAUGCGACAACGCCGCGUGCGGGAAGUCGGCCUUGCGGUUGGAAAGCGAUUUCGCUUGUGACGAGGCGUGAGUGACGGUAACGGGUGAAGAAGCACCGGCUAACUACGUG